UACGAAGGGGGCUAGCGUUGCUCGGAAUUACUGGGCGUAAAGGGCGCGUAGGCGGUUCAUACAGUCAGGCGUGAAAUUCCUGGGCUCAACCUGGGGGCUGCGCUUGAUACGUAUGGACUUGAGGACAGGAGAGGCUCGUGGAAUUCCCAGUGUAGAGGUGAAAUUCGUAGAUAUUGGGAAGAACACCGGUGGCGAAGGCGGCAACCUGGUCCUUGACUGACGCUGAGGCGCGAAAGCGUGGGGAGCAAACAGG
rnacentral:rRNA from 1 species